rnacentral:rRNA from 1 species
AGAGCGAACGCUGGCGGCAGGCCUAACACAUGCAAGUCGAGCGCCCGUAGCAAUACGGGAGCGGCAGACGGGAUAGUAACACGUGGGAACGCGCCCUUCGGUUCGGAAUAACUCAGGGAAACUUGAGCUAAUACCGGAUACGCCCUUACGGGGAAAGAUUUAUUGCCGAAGGAACGGCCCGCGUCCGAUUAGCUAGUUGGUGAGGUAAUGGCUCACCAAGGCGACGAUCGGUAGCUGGUCUGAGAGGAUGACCAGCAUCACUGGGACUGAGACACGGCCCAGACUCCUACGGGAGGCAGCAGUGGGGAAUAUGGACAAUGGGCGCAAGCCUGAUCCAGCCAUGCCGCGUGGAUGAUGAAGGCCUUAGGGUUGUAAAGUCCUUUUAACGGGGAAGAUAAUGACGGUACCCGUAGAAUAAGCCCCGGCUAACUUCGCGCCAGCAGCCGC